GAGGAGAAAGGUGCCCGUACCGUAAACCGACACAGGUAGGUAGGGAGAGAAUCCCAAGGCGCGCGAGAGAACCCUCGCUAAGGAACUCGGCAAAAUGACCCCGUAACUUAGGGAGAAGGGGUGCUCCGCUAGUGUGAAUAUUAUUUACUGAUAUGAGCAUGAGGGAGCCGCAGUGAUCAGGCCCAGGCGACUGUUUACCAAAAACACAGGUCUCUGCAAAAUCGAAAGAUGAAGUAUAGAGGCUGACGCCUGCCCGGUGCCGGAAGGUUAAGAGGAGAGCUUAGCGGUAACGCGAAGGUUUGAGCCGAAGCCCCGGUGAACGGCGGCCGUAACAAUAACGGUCCUAAGGUAGCGAAAUUCCUUGUCUGGUAAGUUCAGACCCGCACGAAAGGCGUAACGAUCUGGGCACUGUCUCGACGAGGGGCUCGGUGAAAUUGUAAUACCGGUGAAGAUGCCGGUUACCUGCGAUAGGACAGAAAGACCCCGUGGAGCUUUACUGCAGCUUGAUAUUGGAUUUUGGUAAUGCAUGUACAGGAUAGGUGGGAGACAGGGAAAGCAGUUCGCAAGGACUGCUGGAGUCACCGGUGGGAUACCACUCUUGGAUUACUGGAGUUCUAACCUGGCACCGUGAACCGGUGUAGGGACAGUGUCUGGCGGGCAGUUUGACUGGGGCGGUCGCCUCCAAAAGAGUAACGGAGGCGCCCAAAGGUUUCCUCAGCGCGGAUGGAAAUCGCGCGAAGAGUGUAAAGGCAUAAGGGAGCUUGACUGCGAGACAGACAUGUCGAGCAGGGACGAAAGUCGGGCUUAGUGAUCCGGCGGUACCGAGUGGAAGGGCCGUCGCUCAUCGGAUAAAAGCUACCCCGGGGAUAACAGGCUUAUCUCCCCCAAGAGUUCACAUCGACGGGGAGGUUUGGCACCUCGAUGUCGGCUCAUCACAUCCUGGGGCUGGAGAAGGUCCCAAGGGUUGGGCUGUUCGCCCAUUAAAGUGGUACGUGAGCUGGGUUCAGAACGUCGUGAGACAGUUCGGUCCCUAUCCAUCGCAGGCGCAGGAGAAUUGAGAGGAUCUGUCCCUAGUACGAGAGGACCGGGAUGGACAGACCGCUGGUGUACCAGUUGUUCCGCCAGGAGCAUAGCUGGGUAGCUAUGUCUGGAAGUGAUAAGCGCUGAAAGCAUCUAAGCGCGAAGCCAACCUCAAGAUGAGUUCUCCCACUUCGUAAGAAGGUAAGGUCCCACAGAGAAUAUGUGGUUGAUAGGCCGGAGGUGUAAGUGUAGUGAUGCAUUAAGCUGACCGGUACUAAUAGACCGAGGGCUUGACCAA
rnacentral:rRNA from 1 species